AGAGUUUGAUCCUGGCUCAGGACGAACGCUGGCGGCGUGCUUAACACAUACAAGUCGAGCGGAAAGGCCCUUCGGGGUACUCGAGCGGCGAACGGGUGAGUAACACGUGAGUAACCUGCCCCUGACUCUGGGAUAAGCCCGGGAAACUGGGUCUAAUACCGGAUAUGACACCUCCUCGCAUGGGGUGGGUGUGGAAAGUUUUUCGGUUGGGGAUGGACUCGCGGCCUAUCAGCUUGUUGGUGGGGUAAUGGCCUACCAAGGCGACGACGGGUAGCCGGCCUGAGAGGGCGACCGGCCACACUGGGACUGAGACACGGCCCAGACUCCUACGGGAGGCAGCAGUGGGGAAUAUUGCGCAAUGGGCGAAAGCCUGACGCAGCGACGCCGCGUGGGGGAUGACGGCCUUCGGGUUGUAAACCUCUUUCAGCAGGGACGAAGUUGACGUGUACCUGCAGAAGAAGCGCCGGCUAACUACGUGCCAGCAGCCGCGGUAAUACGUAGGGCGCAAGCGUUGUCCGGAAUUAUUGGGCGUAAAGAGCUCGUAGGUGGCUCGUCACGUCGGGUGUGAAAGCUUGGGGCUUAACUCCAGGUCUGCAUUCGAUACGGGCUGGCUAGAGGUAGGUAGGGGAGAACGGAAUUCCUGGUGUAGCGGUGAAAUGCGCAGAUAUCAGGAGGAACACCGGUGGCGAAGGCGGUUCUCUGGGCCUUACCUGACGCUGAGGAGCGAAAGCGUGGGGAGCGAACAGGAUUAGAUACCCUGGUAGUCCACGCUGUAAACGUUGGGCGCUAGGUGUGGGGACCUUCCACGGUUUCCGCGCCGUAGCUAACGCAUUAAGCGCCCCGCCUGGGGAGUACGGCCGCAAGGCUAAAACUCAAAGGAAUUGACGGGGGCCCGCACAAGCGGCGGAGCAUGUUGCUUAAUUCGACGCAACGCGAAGAACCUUACCAAGGCUUGACAUUGCCCGGAAACACUCAGAGAUGGGUGCCUCUUCGGAUCGGGUGACAGGUGGUGCAUGGCUGUCGUCAGCUCGUGUCGUGAGAUGUUGGGUUAAGUCCCGCAACGAGCGCAACCCUUGUUCAAUGUUGCCAGCAACACCCUUCGGGGUGGUUGGGGACUCAUUGGAGACUGCCGGGGUCAACUCGGAGGAAGGUGGGGAUGACGUCAAGUCAUCAUGCCCCUUAUGUCAUGGGCUGCAAACAUGCUACAAUGGCCGGUACAGAGGGCUGCGAUACCGCAAGGUGGAGCGAAUCCCUAAAAGCCGGUCUCAGUUCGGAUUGGGGUCUGCAACUCGACCCCAUGAAGUCGGGGUCGCUAGUAAUCGCAGAUCAGCAACGCUGCGGUGAAUACGUUCCCGGGCCUUGUACACACCGCCCGUCACGUCACGAAAGUCGGCAACACCCGAAGCCCGUGGCCCAACCAGCUUGCUGGGGGGAGCGGUCGAAGGUGGGGCUGGCGAUUGGGACGAAGUCGUAACAAGGUA
rnacentral:rRNA from 1 species